rnacentral:rRNA from 1 species
CCUACGGGAGGCAGCAGUGGGGAAUAUUGCACAAUGGGGGAAACCCUGAUGCAGCGACGCCGCGUGAGUGAAGAAGUAAUUCGUUUUGUAAAGCUCUAUCAGCAGGGAAGAAAAUGACGGUACCUGAGUAAGAAGCCCCGGCUAACUACGUGCCAGCUGCCGAGGUAAUACGUAGGGGGCCAGCGUUAUCCGGAUUUACUGGGUGUAAAGGGUGUUCAGGCGGUUUUGCAAGUUGGAUGUGAAAGCCACGGGCUUAACCUGGGAAAGGCAUACAUGACUGGAAGACUAGAGUUCGUCAGAGGGGGGUGGAAUUCCAAGUGUAGCAGUGAAAUGCGUAGAUAUUUGGAAGAACACCGAUGGCGAAGGCAGCCCCCUGGGACGCAACUGACGCUCAUACACGAAAGCGUGGGGAGCAAACAGGAUUAGAUACCCUGGUAGUC